rnacentral:sRNA from 1 species
UAUAUACUCAUAGCUCAGAAAUGCUGAGUUAAUAGCUCAUGAAUCUCAAGAGAGGUGCAAACCUGUUGGUCAUUGGCAAAGGGGCAGAUUCGGAACAAUAGGAGCCAGGGUGCUUUUCGGCUUUCUUUUCUGAGCCAUGGGCAUUCUGUCCCUUGCUCACCCCCACAGGACAUGAUGAGCUACAUUGGGCCCAAGAGGACAGCAGUGGUGCGGGGGAUAAUGCAUCGGGAGGCCUUUAACAUCAUUGGCCGCCGCAUAGUCCAGGUGGCCCAGGCCAUGUCUUUGACUGAGGAUGUGCUUGCUGCUGCCCUGGCUGACCACCUUCCAGAGGACAAGUGGAGCGCUGAGAAGAGGCGGCCUCUCAAGUCCAGCUUGGGCUAUGAGAUCACCUUCAGUUUACUCAACCCAGACCCCAAGUCCCAUGACGUCCACUGGGACAUUGAGGGGGCUGUCCGGCGCUAUGUGCAACCUUUCCUGAAUGCCCUCAGUGCCGCUGGCAACUUCUCUGUGGACUCUCAGAUUCUUUACUAUGCAGUGUUGGGGGUGAACCCCCGCUUUGACUCAGCUUCCUCCAGCUACUAUUUGGACAUGCACAACCUCCCCCAUGU